AGAAUCAACGCUGGCGGCGUGCCUAACACAUGCAAGUCGAACGAGAAAGUGGAGCAAUCCAUGAGUAAAGUGGCGCACGGGUGAGUAACACGUGACUAACCUACCCUUGAGUGGGGGAUAACCUAGGGAAACCUGGGCUAAUACCGCAUAAUACCUUCGGGUCAAAGGAGCAAUUCGCUUAAGGAGGGGGUCGCGGCCGAUUAGUUAGUUGGCGGGGUAAUGGCCCACCAAGACUAUGAUCGGUAUCCGGCCUGAGAGGGCGCACGGACACACUGGAACUGAAACACGGUCCAGACUCCUACGGGAGGCAGCAGUGGGGAAUUUUGCGCAAUGGGGGAAACCCUGACGCAGCAACGCCGCGUGGAGGAUGAAGUCCCUUGGGACGUAAACUCAUUUCGAUCGGGACGAUUAUGACGGUACCGAGAGAAGAAGCCCGGCUAACUUCGUGCCAGCAGCCGC
rnacentral:rRNA from 1 species